rnacentral:rRNA from 1 species
AGUGAACGCUGGCGGUAGGCCUAACACAUGCAAGUCGAACGGCAGCACAGUAAGAGCUUGCUCUUACGGGUGGCGAGUGGCGGACGGGUGAGGAAUACAUCGGAAUCUACUUUUUCAUGGGGGAUAACGUAGGGAAACUUACGCUAAUACCGCAUACGACCUACGGGUGAAAGCAGGGGAUCUUCGGACCUUGCGCGAUUGAAUGAGCCGAUGUCGGAUUAGCUAGUUGGCGGGGUAAAGGCCCACCAAGGCGACGAUCCGUAGCUGGUCUGAGAGGAUGAUCAGCCACACUGGAACUGAGACACGGUCCAGACUCCUACGGGAGGCAGCAGUGGGGAAUAUUGGACAAUGGGCGCAAGCCUGAUCCAGCCAUACCGCGUGGGUGAAGAAGGCCUUCGGGUUGUAAAGCCCUUUUGUUGGGAAAGAAAAGCAGCAGGUUAAUACCCCGCUGUUCUGACGGGACCCAAAGAAUAAACACCGGCUAACUUCGG